GGAUGUGAAGGCGAUCUGGCUGCGACAUCUGUCACCCCAUUGAUCGCCAGGGUUGAUUCGGCUGAUCUGGCUCGCUAGGCGGGUGUCCCCUUCCUCCCUCACCGCUCCAUGUGCGUCCCUCCCGAAGCUGCGCGCUCGGUCGAAGAGGACGACCUUCCCCGAUAGAGGAGGACCGUUCUUCAGUCAAGGGUAUACGAGUAGCUGCGCUCCCCUGCUAGAACCUCCAAACAAGCUCUCAAGAGGGACCCCAGAGGGCUUCCUCAUGAGGACACGGUGAGAAGGUGAGAUGCCGUCAAUGAACCAGGCACAGCCCUCACCUGACAGCUGGUGUGCUAGAG
rnacentral:snRNA from 1 species